rfam:Triticum aestivum genome assembly, contig: Triticum_aestivum_CS42_TGACv1_scaffold_130597_2BL
CUUGUACGCCCUCCGUCCAAAAAUACUUGUCAUUGAAAUGGAUGUAUCUAGAUGUAUUUUAGUUCUAGACACAUCCAUUUUGAUGACAAGUAAUUCCGGACGGAGGGAGUACUUG